rnacentral:rRNA from 1 species
GCGGCGAGCGAAACGGGAAGAGCCCAAACCAACAAGCUUGCUUGUUGGGGUUGUAGGACACUCUAUACGGAGUUACAAAGGACGACAUUAGACGAAUCAUCUGGAAAGAUGAAUCAAAGAAGGUAAUAAUCCUGUAGUCGAAAAUGUUGUCUCUCUUGAGUGGAUCCUGAGUACGACGGAGCACGUGAAAUUCCGUCGGAAUCUGGGAGGACCAUCUCCUAAGG